rnacentral:rRNA from 1 species
CAGGGUGCUUGCACCGCUGACGAGUGGCGAACGGGUGAGUAAUACAUCGGAAUGUACCCAGUAAUGGGGGAUAACGCUUCGAAAGGAGUGCUAAUACCGCAUACGCCCUGAGGGGGAAAGUGGGGGACCGCAAGGCCUCACGUUAUUGGAGCAGCCGAUGGCUGAUUAGCUAGUUGGUAGGGUAAAGGCCUACCAAGGCAACGAUCAGUAGCGGGUCUUAGAGGACGAUCCGCCACACUGGAACUGAGACACGGUCCAGACUCCUACGGGAGGCAGCAGUGGGGAAUCUUGGACAAUGGGCGAAAGCCUGAUCCAGCAAUGCCGCGUGCGUGAAGAAGGCCUUCGGGUUGUAAAGCGCUUUUGUCGGGGAGGAAAUCCUAGUGGCUAAUAACCGCUGGGGAUGACAGUACCCGAAGAAUAAGGACCGGCUAACUACGUGCCAGCAGCCGCGGUAAUACGUAGGGUCCAAGCGUUAAUCGGAAUUACUGGGCGUAAAGCGUCCGCAGGUGGCUUGAUAAGAUAGACGUGAAAUCCCUGGGCUCAACCUAGGAAUUGCGUUUAUGACUGUCUCGCUAGAGUAUGGGAGAGGGGGGUGGAAUUCCACGUGUAGCAGUGAAAUGCGUAGAGAUGUGGAGGAACACCGAUGGCGAAGGCAACCCCCUGGCCUAAUACUGACACUCAUGGACGAAAGCGUGGGGAGCAAACAGGAUUAGAUACCCUGGUAGUCCACGCCCUAAACGAUGUCUACUAGUUGUUGGGCUUUUC